CAAGACAGAGGCAGGACUGAGAAGACGAGAGGUGGGCUUCGUUCCUGAGAAUAUCCAGGAGUCCAAGAGAUCUAAAUUGGAAGAUGGCCUUCCAAUUUAGGUCAGUUUCCAAUUAAGAAGGCCAGGUUUUUAUGAAGCAAUAUUUGUCAAGGAGAAGGUGAAGCUGACUUGACUGAGAGUGGAUGGAUCACUUCUGAGCUGCAGAAAGAAUUCAACUAUCAACUUGCUGGUCCUCUACUUCCCGAAACUCUCCAGCCUACAUUUCUUCCUCUUCUUCGGUUUCUAAACUCAAACUGACUUUGGAAUGAAAGGGAGCAGCUGCUGAGGUAGGAAGGUCGGAGGUGGCCCUCCAAAAGCCUCUUUUCUGGAAGCUCCGCUGCCAAGGGCUCGACUGGAGUCCCAGGACAUAUUCAGAGGCCGCCAGACCCCUGCAUGGAGGCCCCUCCCUUGCAGCUCCUGGUUACCAUGAUUGAAUGAUGUCCUGCAGCUCCGAGCCUCAGCCACCUAUGUUGUCAAGGUUUCCUCUGUGAAAGCAUCCAAAAACUCUGCCAGCACCUUCUUCUUUCCUUUUUUGUUUUCCUACCAGGGCCAGGCCAGGCUCUGCUGGCCAUUUCCGAUUAAGCUCCUCAGAAGGCAUAGAGCCACUCACACUCAGAAUUAUUUAAAAUAACACUAGACUGCAAAUGCCCUAAAUAUCCAUCAGAAAUAAAUGGAUGCAUAACAUUGGGUGAAAGAAGCCAUACACAAACAAACACGGUGUCAAGAACUACGUAAAUCAAGCUGUGAUCGGUCCUGCAUUCUUCCCUGUCACUGGGACGUCACAUAAGUCUACUGCACUUCCGGCAUGGACAUUCACUUUUGCAGAUGAGGAAACAAGAAUUCAGAGUUGAUUUGCACAUACGAAGCAAAACAAGUGAGAUCCAAGCCUCCAGACUCUACAACAGAUGCUUCCAAUAUCUAUGUCUAAUGAAGUAAACU
rnacentral:lncRNA from 1 species